CGCCUCUGAUCCUCUGACUGUCUUCGAUUUCGAGACCAAGAAUGUAAUUACCUGAAUAAAGGAAUAUUUACAAUUACAUGUCAUCAUUAUUAUUCGUAAACGUCAGGGUUGUGUUCGACUUCGAUUUAGAGGCUAGGCUCCGAUGAAAUGUCAAAGGUGUGUCACGAGUUUUUAAUUAGUGAGUUUUUAGCAAUUGUGUCGAUAGCAAUACGGUUUUUCACUGGACUGAUGAAACUAGAAGGUAUUAUAAUUGAUCCAACCCAUUGCGAACUGUCGUCAGUUCUCUUCUAUUCUUCCAAUUUCCUCAUGGGAUACUUAAUCACCUCAGCUGCCAACAAACAGUGUCAUCAAUUACCUGGGAAAUUCUGUAUACCGAUUCUAAUGAAACAAAUAUAGAACAUUCCAAUGUUCAGAGAUUUCCAGAUGCUGGAGGAGCCAGAAACCAACAAACCUGCAUUUUUCAUUGAGACGC
rnacentral:misc_RNA from 1 species